rnacentral:rRNA from 1 species
AUUGAACGCUGGCGGCAGGCCUAACACAUGCAAGUCGAACGAGUGGCGGACGGGUGAGUAAUGUCUGGGAAACUGCCCGAUGGAGGGGGAUAACUACUGGAAACGGUAGCUAAUACCGCAUACCAUCGGAUGUGCCCAGAUGGGAUUAGCUAGUAGGUGGGGGAACGGCUCACCUAGGCGACGAUCCCUUGCUGGUCUGAGAGGAUGACCGUGCAAACUGGAACUGAGGCACGGUCCAGAACCCUACGGGAGGGAGCAGGUGGGAAUAUUGCACAAUGGGCGCCAGCCUGAUGCAGCCAUGCCGCGUGUAUGAAGAAGGCCUUCGGGUUUGAAAGUACUUUCAGCGAGGAGGCGUUACUCGCAAAAGAAGCACCGGCUAACUCCGUGCCAGCCGCCGCGGUAAUAC